UUAAAGACAGUACUGGGUGAAGCUCACGUAUUUUAUUUUUUUUUUCUGUUGUGUUGUUAAUUGUUUUGGUAUUUUUAAAAUGGUUCAACCCACUUCUCCAGACACCCAAGCCAGCGAAACACUUAUGGACGCUUCGUCCAAUGCAAAUGCCGAGCCUAAGGACGUAUCCAUCCUGAUCAAGGCCUGUUCUGCCAAAGUGAUCAAGGCACAGCCAAGGUCCAAACCGCUGAUCAGCAAGGAGAACACGCUGCUCAUGAUCAUGAUCACCAUCAUCAUUUUGCUGCUGGAGAUCGUCAUCCUUCUGACCAGAUAUUUUAAUAUUGGCUUGUUCUAAAAACCAACUUUUCCAAAACAUUCUUCUAAUAUUUUUGUUAGUGCACCGUUGAAUGAAUAAAAUUACAUAAAGAAGUA